UACGUAGGUGGCGAGCGUUGUCCGGAUUUACUGGGCGUAAAGAGCGCGCAGGCGGUCGAUCAAGUCGGAUGUGAAAGCCCCCGGCUCAACUGGGGAGGGUCAUUCGAUACUGGUCGACUCGAAGGCAGGAGAGGGAAGCGGAAUUCCCGGUGUAGUGGUGAAAUGCGUAGAUAUCGGGAGGAACACCAGUGGCGAAGGCGGCUUUCUGGCCUGUUCUUGACGCUGAGGCGCGAAAGCUAGGGGAGCGAACGGG
rnacentral:rRNA from 1 species